rnacentral:misc_RNA from 1 species
UGGUCAUAUUUUCAGAAGUUGGCACAGGAUGGGUUUGCUCAAAAAGAUGCUGCUCGUACUAACCUGGAUCAUCUUGGUACUCCAUCUGCACCUGCAAAAGUUGAAGAAGGAGAUAAGAAUUCUUAUCAUUUUACAACUUUGACAACUGAUGGAAUGUUGAUAGACCAUGAAUAUUCCCAAAACAAUUUUGGUGAAGACGUUAAGAAAAAUUUACCAGGAAUGGUAGGAGCUGACUCUACAAUGCUUUCAGGUUUUGUUCAUUCUCCAGUGAAGAACAGUGAAACUCUGCAAUUUGAUGCUAUGAUGGAUAACCUAAAAUCACCAGAAUCAUGCUAUGAGG